UUCGGGGACGAUAACGGCGUCGAGCGGCGGACGGGUGAGUAAUGCCUAGGAAAUUGCCCUGAUGUGGGGGAUAACCAUUGGAAACGAUGGCUAAUACCGCAUAAUGCCUACGGGCCAAAGAGGGGGACCUUCGGGCCUCUCGCGUCAGGAUAUGCCUAGGUGGGAUUAGCUAGUUGGUGAGGUAAUGGCUCACCAAGGCGACGAUCCCUAGCUGGUCUGAGAGGAUGAUCAGCCACACUGGAACUGAGACACGGUCCAGACUCCUACGGGAGGCAGCAGUGGGGAAUAUUGCACAAUGGGCGCAAGCCUGAUGCAGCCAUGCCGCGUGUGUGAAGAAGGCCUUCGGGUUGUAAAGCACUUUCAGUCGUGAGGAAGGUGGUGUAGUUAAUAGCUGCAUUACUUGACGUUAGCGACAGAAGAAGCACCGGCUAACUCCGUGCCAGCAGCCGCGGUAAUACGGAGGGUGCGAGCGUUAAUCGGAAUUACUGGGCGUAAAGCGCAUGCAGGUGGUUUGUUAAGUCAGAUGUGAAAGCCCGGGGCUCAACCUCGGAAUAGCAUUUGAAACUGGCAGACUAGAGUACUGUAGAGGGGGGUAGAAUUUCAGGUGUAGCGGUGAAAUGCGUAGAGAUCUGAAGGAAUACCGGUGGCGAAGGCGGCCCCCUGGACAGAUACUGACACUCAG
rnacentral:rRNA from 1 species